UAAUACGGAGGAUCCGAGCGUUAUCCGGAUUUAUUGGGUUUAAAGGGUGCGUAGGCGGCCAGUUAAGUCAGGGGUGAAAGACGGUAGCUCAACUAUCGCAGUGCCUUUGAUACUGAUUGGCUUGAAUGCAGAUGAGGUAGGCGGAAUGUGACAAGUAGCGGUGAAAUGCAUAGAUAUGUCACAGAACACCGAUUGCGAAGGCAGCUUACUAAGUUGUGAUUGACGCUGAGGCACGAAAGCGUGGGGAUCAAACAGG
rnacentral:rRNA from 1 species